AUGCACACUCUACUCUGGGUUGCGGGCACAUGGUGUGAUAGUCCUUGGUGUGUAAGGAAGUUUCGGUCCUUUCAAAGUUACCAAAGAAUGGCCAUGGCUCCAAAUGCUCUAGGUUCACGGGGCCGGUGGCCUCUUUUCCAAAGGCGGUCAGAGGAAAACCCCCGCCUGCGCGGAUCCCACAAAACGCCACCAGCAGAGGAGGCCGCCGGAGAGGAUCAUGAGCAUGUUCUGGUUCUGCUUCUCAAGACCCUGCAUUUGGCGAUUUCAACUCGGCAGAGGGUCAAGGGACUGAGAUCCCGCUCCCAGGUGAGGCUGAAGACGCCGCUCCGCGGGCCACACGUGGAAUACCACUGGUGGAGUGGGGGUCGGGGGGUGGGAGCGGCCAAAACCUACAGGAGGACCUUCGUGAUGACGCAGCCGUCCCUGGGUUCCCCCUCGGGCUCGUCUUUGAGCGGAGCGUGCAGCGAGGGGGCCGGGGCCGGGGCCAAGGCGCCCUCCCGCCGGCUCACUUCCCGCUGCCGCGCCUGCAGUGCCUCCCUUUCGGCCUGCAGCUCCCGGCGCGCCUGGGCCGCCGCGCGCUCCUCCUCCUGCAGCGCCCGCCGCCUGCGCUCCAAGGCGCGCUCGCCCUGCUCCACAGCCGCCUCGCGCCGCGCCAGCUCCCGCUCGCGCAGGCUGCCCCGCACGGCCAGCGCACCCAUCUGCUCGAGGAGGCGCGCCCAGUCGCCCUCGGCGGCCGCGACGGGGCCAGGGGCGGCGGGGUGGCGAGCGGCGGGCGGCGCUCUCCGCCAGCUCCCGCCGGUGCGCGCUCCUCAGGUGCUUCCACAGCGCCGGGGUGCUCGCGUGCCAGCCCGGGCCGCGGCCCACUUGCUCCCCGCACAGCCGGCAGGUGGCCCAGGGGCCCGCCGCGUGGCCAGGGCGCGCGGGAGCCAGGUGGAAGUACCCCCAGGCCUCGGAGUACGGCGCCCCCAGGCGGCCCGCAGCCGCGUCCGGCCCGCCGGUCUCGUCCAUGGUCACGGCCGGCUCUUCGCUCCUCAUUGUUUAGGCAGCGCCUGCACCGAGGGAGACAGGGCUAAAGUUAACGACCGCAAAAUUACAUGUGCAACUGGACAACCGCUCCAACACACAGCUUCUAGGACUAGAUUAAACCUGUGA
rnacentral:lncRNA from 1 species